rnacentral:rRNA from 1 species
GACGAACGCUGGCGGCGUGCUUAACACAUGCAAGUCGAACGGUGACCCUCGGAGCUUGCUUCGGGGUGAGCAGUGGCGAACGGGUGAGUAACACGUGAGUAACCUGCCCCUGACUCUGGAAUAAGCGCUGGAAACGGCGUCUAAUACCGGAUACGACACGCCUCCGCAUGGGGAGCGCGUGGAAAGUUUUUCGGUCUGGGAUGGACUCGCGGCCUAUCAGCUUGUUGGUGAGGUAAUGGCUCACCAAGGCGAUGACGGGUAGCCGGCCUGAGAGGGCGAACGGCCACACUGGGACUGAGACACGGCCCAGACUCCUACGGGAGGCAGCAGUGGGGAAUAUUGCACAAUGGGCGAAAGCCUGAUGCAGCGACGCCGCGUGAGGGAUGACGGCCUUCGGGUUGUAAACCUCUUUCAGCAGGGAAGAAGCGAAAGUGACGGUACCUGCAGAAGAAGCACCGGCUAACUACGUGCCAGCAGCCGCAGUAA